rnacentral:rRNA from 1 species
CCUACGGGAGGCAGCAGUGGGGGAUAUUGCACAAUGGGGGGAACCCUGAUGCAGCGACGCCGCGUGGGUGAAGAAGCGCCUCGGCGCGUAAAGCCCUGUCAGCAGGGAAGAAAAUGACGGUACCUGAAGAAGAAGCCCCGGCUAACUACGUGCCAGCAGCCGCGGUAAUACGUAGGGGGCAAGCGGUAUCCGGAUUUACUGGGUGUAAAGGGGGCGCAGACGGCGAUGCAAGCCAGGAGUGAAAGCCCGGGGCCCAACCCCGGGACUGCUCUUGGAACUGCGUGGCUAGAGUGCAGGAGGGGCAGGCGGAAUUCCUGGUGUAGCGGUGAAAUGCGUAGAUAUCAGGAGGAACACCGGUGGCGAAGGCGGCCUGCUGGACUGCAACUGACGUUGAGGCCCGAAAGCGUGGGGAGCAAACAGGAUUAGAUACCCCAGUAGUC